GCUAGUAAUGGCAGGUCAGCAUACUGCCGUGAAUACGUUCCCGGGCCUUGUACACACCGCCCGUCACACCAUGAGAGUUGGGAAUACCCGAAACCUGUGAGCUAGCGUUAAGAGGCAGCAGUCGAAGGUAGAAUCAAUGAUUGGGGUGAAGUCGUAACAAGGUACC
rnacentral:rRNA from 1 species